rnacentral:rRNA from 1 species
ACGAACGCUGGCGGCGUGCUUAACACAUGCAGGUCGAACGGAAAGGCCUGCUUUCCCUUGUGGAUUGCGGGUACUCGAGUGGCGAACGGGUGAGUAACACGUGAGUGAUCUGCCCCCAACUUGGGUAUAAGCCUGGGAAACUGGGUCUAAUUCCCGAUAGGACUGCAGGGUGGUGCCUGUGGUGGAAAACGAUUUUCUAGUGGUUGGGGAUGAGCUCGCGGCCUAUCAGCUUGUUGGUGGGGUAAUGGCCUACCAAGGCGGCGACGGGUAGCCGGCCUGAGAGGGUGGACGGCCACAUUGGGACUGAGAUACGGCCCAGACUCCUACGGGAGGCAGCAGUGGGGAAUAUUGCACAAUGGGCGGAAGCCUGAUGCAGCGACGCCGCGUGGGGGAUGACGGCCUUCGGGUUGUAAACUCCUUUCGACCGCGAGGAAGCCACCUGGUUGGAAGGGUGGUGACGGUAGUGGUAGAAGAAGCACCGGCUAACUACGUG